UGAUUACAACCCGACGUUUGACGCUCAACCCUAGCCCUUCCCUUGUAGCUCUCUAGUCUCAAUUGCAACCGGGAGGACAAUUAGCAAUUAUUAACUUGGAGUCCCAUGCAGCCUUGCUUGCAGCAAAACAAAUGCAUUUUCACAUCUUCAACAUAUGCUGCCACUAAAUAAUGUAUUACUAUAUUAUAAAAUGUCUUGAAAAUGGGUGAUUAUUAAUAGGAGCAUCAACAGACAAUCUUAUAUAUGGGGUAGUAUGGAAUGUGCAAUUGCUGCUACAUGUAUUCAUACAAAAAGAUGUUGAUAUAUUUGAGGCAAUGUAUCUUAUAAUUCAUAACAGUAUAUUAAUUACCUCA